rnacentral:rRNA from 1 species
AUUGAACGCUGGCGGCAGGCCUAACACAUGCAAGUCGAACGAGUGGCGGACGGGUGAGAAAUGUCUGGGAAACUGCCUGAUGGAGGGGGAAAACUACGGGAAACGGUAGCUAAUACCGCAUACUGUCAGAUGUGCGCAGAUGGGAUUAGCUAGUUGGUGGGGUAACGGCUGACCAAGGCGACGAUCCCUAGCUGGGCUGAGAGGAUGACCAGCCACACUGGAACUGAGACACGGUCCAGACGCCUCCGGGAGGCAGCAGUGGGGAAUAUGGCACAUUGGGCGCAAGCCUGAUGCAGCCAGGCCGCGUGUAUGAAGAAGGCCUGCGGGUUGUAAAGUACUUUCAGCGGGGAGGCGUUACCCGCAGAAGAAGCACCGGCUAACUCCGUGCCAGCAGCCGCGGUAAUAC